rnacentral:lncRNA from 1 species
AUGGCUCCCAAGGGGCCACCCCCGCCUGGACUGCCCUGCUGUCCCGGGCCCCUCUGCUCCCGGCUGCAGCUUGUGCCUCCUGGCUCCCGCAGCUCCCCAGGGAGGCUGUCUUCCAAGGGAUGCUCCCAUCGCUCAUCAUGUCAAGGCUACCCUGGGGAGGCGAGCAACACAGCAUACGCCAGAGCCCAGCAGCCACGCGGAAAGCCUGUGGCAGGUGCUACUCUCACCAUGACUCCAGCACAUUCCCUGGGGCCUCUGACCCACACCCCUAUACCUCUGGCCUCCACCCUGCCGGCGGAACCUCCAGCUGACUUGACCAGAAUCCCACCGGACACUACUGCCAUGAGCACAGCUCCAGCUCACUCCUCUUGGCCAUUUCCCAACUCAGGCCACGGCCGCAUGAGCUGGCGCGUCGAGUUCCUCUCGCAGUGGCACAUGAUCAAGGUCUUGUUCUUCCCCGGGUCAGCGCACCUCCAGUCCCAGCAAGGGCACCUGUCCUGCCACCGACCAGUGGCCUCAUUCCGGGGAGGCCCCACACACAGGGAGGGAGAGACGGAGAGCCCCUCACUUGCCAACCCUGAUGCGCCAAAGCUGCUCAAGAUGGAAAUCAGGAAAAGAACACAGACGAAGGCCUGGGAGAAAGAAGAACAAGACGCCCCAGGCAGCCCUCAGAUGCUCGAAGCACCCAGUAUCACGUCUGGGCUGAAUGUCCGCUGGCGCCCACCCUUCCCGUCCUUGGAGUCGGCUGAGCUGAACGCAAGUGAGGCUCAACCCUUGGCCCUUCCACGGUCUACUUUUCCCUCCUCUGCCACCCGUGAUUCCGGCACCCGCUUGAAGGCCGACAGUGCAGAGUUCUCGGGAAAACCUCUUGAGCCCCACCCAGGAGAGAAACAUAAGACUUUGACCACAAAAGCAUCAGUUCCGCGCCUGGCCCCUCCCCUCCCUUCAACUUCCCCUGUGAGUGAGGAAAACCAGAAGGCCCCGGGAGGGACCCUACCUGGCAAUGGCUGUGGGCCCUCCGAGGCCUCUCUGAUGGGACAGCAGGGCCGGCCGCCUUCUCCGAGCUUCGCAUUCAGCCUCUCGGACAGAAAUGGGCAGAGCGGGACGGUCGUGGGGGCCGAGCAAGGCCGUCUACACCUGAGUCCAGGGUCAGCAAUGGCCAGGAACGAGCCUCUGAAAGAGAGUGGAGGUGGGGCGUCACCAGAGCCCUGCCGUGGGGUGGCAACACUGGAGGGCGAGUCAGGGUCCCAGUCUUGGAGCCAGGUCGGAGGAACAGGAGACGCCCUCGGGACCAAACCCCUCCAGGCCCUGCCGGAAAAAGAAGAGGUUUUUCACGUCAGCCCUCUCAGAAAAAUGUUGAGACGCCUCCUGCCCUGCCUGAGGCCCAACAAGGAGGAAGCACCAGAGGAGCCCCUUGCAAAGGCAAGCCCGCGUCAGCCACCGCCCAGAGCCAGGCACGGGUCACACGCAGCUCGGCGUCGGAUGGCAGGGCUGUUCAGGCGCCAUCCACAGUAUCAUCCUUUGUCUGGGCGCUGGGAGACAGACUGA